UGAGGUUUUAGGAUUGAAAUGGGAGAGGCGGGGUCGAACUGAGUAUUUGUGCGCUUGCGCAAGAGGGAGAGGGAAGAAGACAGCCGAAGAGUAGCGGGAGGCGCACCAAGAAGGGGGGACACACACACACACCCUCGACAUAGCCUUAGGAACCCCAGGAGUCACCAGACCACACUUUGAGUACCAUUGCUUUGGAACAAUAUUUCUUGAACUUUUCAAAGGAGAAAGAAACUGGGGAAUUUCACUGUUCCCUUCUUGGAAGGAUAGGAAAUGUUAAAACAUGUAUUCUGUGUUACCAUUUAAAUAGUUGUUAGAGAUGGCAGAAUGUUCGCUGCUUCUUGAAAAGCAAUAGGAGUUUAACUGAUGCCUGCUGUUUAUAUUCUUGUCUUUUGGGAUUUCAAAGUCUGUUGCCUUAAUAAAUAUGUAGCAGUUUUCAUUGUAGUUUGUUUUCAAGUUGUCUAAUUUCAUAUGUAGUUGGAUCCAAUAAAGUGAUCUACA